GUGAAUCAUCGAAUCUUUGAACGCAAAUUGCACUUUCUGGUAUUCCGGAAAGUAUGCCUGUUUGAGGGUCAGUUAAAUAAAAAACGGUGUUGUUGCUGUCUUUUGUGGUGACGCGUUGGAAUUGGGUUGUCUUACUUUCGGUUAUGUGCGUUCUGAUUUUUGUAUGAUUUUUGCACGUAUCUAAAUUGAUUAUUUAUGUUGGGGAUUUC
rnacentral:misc_RNA from 1 species